AAUCAACGCUGGCGGCGUGCCUCAGACAUGCAAGUCGAACGCGAAAGUUUCCUUCGGGAGGCGAGUAGAGUGGCGCACGGGUGAGUAACACGUAGGUAAUCUACCUUUGGGUGGGGAAUAACAGCCGGAAACGGCUGCUAAUACCGCAUAAUGCAGCGGCUCGACAUCGAGACAGUUGUUAAAGCGGGGGAUCGCAAGACCUCGCGCCUAAAGAGGAGCCUGCGGCGGAUAGCUAGUUGGUGAGGUAAUGGCUCACCAAGGCAUCGAUCCGUAGCCGGCCUGAGAGGGCGGUCGGCCACACUGACACUGACAUACGGGUCAGACUCCUACGGGAGGCAGCAGUCGGGAAUUUUGGGCAAUGGGCGCAAGCCUCGACCCAGCAACGCCGCGUGAAGGAUGAAAUCCCUCGGAUGUAAACUUCGCAAGAACAGGAAGAA
rnacentral:rRNA from 1 species